AGUGAACGCUGGCGGUAGGCCUAACACAUGCAAGUCGAACGGCAGCACAGUAAGAGCUUGCUCUUACGGGUGGCGAGUGGCGGACGGGUGAGGAAUACAUCGGAAUCUACUUUUUCGUGGGGGAUAACGUAGGGAAACUUACUCUAAUACCGCAUACGACCUACGGGUGAAAGCAGGGGAUCUUCGGACCUUGCGCGAUUGAAUGAGCCGAUGUCGGAUUAGCUAGUUGGCGGGGUAAAGGCCCACCAAGGCGACGAUCCGUAGCUGGUCUGAGAGGAUGAUCAGCCACACUGGAACGGAGACACGGUCCAGACGCCUACGGGAGGCAGCAGUGGGGAAUAUGGGACAAUGGGCGCAAGCCUGAUCCAGCCAUACCGAGUGGGUGAAGAAGGCCUUCGGGUUGGAAAGCCCUUUUGUUGGGAAAGAAAAGCAGCAGGUUAAUACCACGCUGUUCUGACGGUAACCAAAGAAUAAGCACCGGCUAACUUCGUG
rnacentral:rRNA from 1 species